rnacentral:rRNA from 1 species
AGAGUUUGAUCCUGGCUCAGAAUGAACGCUGGCGGCGUGCCUAACACAUGCAAGCCGGAUGUGCCGCAAGGUGCAUGGCAGACGGGUGAGUAACGCGUGGGGAAUCUGCCUUUUUGUGGGGAAUAACGUUCCGAAAGGAAUGGUAAUACCGCAUGUGAUCACAGUUUGGGAUAGCUGUGAUGAAAGCCGGGGACCGCAAGGCCUGGCGCAAGAAGAGGAUCCUGCGUCUGAUUAGCUAGUUGGCGGGGUAAUGGCCCACCAAGGCGACAAUCAGUAGCCGGCCUGAGAGGGUGAUCGGCCACACUGGAACUGAGACACGGUCCAGACUCCUACGGGAGGCAGCAGUGGGGAAUUUUGCGCAAUGGACGAAAGUCUGACGCAGCAACGCCGCGUGGGUGAUGAAGGUCUUCGGAUCGUAAAACCCUGUCGUCAGGGACGAAGGUAAUGUGCCUAAUACGCAUGUUGCUUGACGGUACCUGGAGAGGAAGCCCCGGCUAACUCUGUGCCAGCAGCCGCGGUAAUACAGAGGGGGCAAGCGUUAUUCGGAAUUAUUGGGCGUAAAGGGCGCGUAGGCGGUCUUUUAAGUCAGAUGUGCAAUCCCCGAGCUCAACUUGGGAACUGCAUCUGAGACUGGAAGACUCGAGUGCUGGAGAGGGUGGUAGAAUUCCACGUGUAGCGGUGAAAUGCGUAGAGAUGUGGAGGAAUACCAGUGGCGAAGGCGGCCACCUGGACAGUAACUGACGCUGAGGCGCGAAAGUGUGGGUAGCAAACAGGAUUAGAUACCCCGGUAGU